rnacentral:rRNA from 1 species
CCGAUAAACAUUGAAUAUUUAUAUUUUAAGCAUUCACUUGUUAUACUGGGGCGGUGACCUUCAUUAAAGUAACGAGGGUAAACAAAGUCACUACAAUAUUCGAACUGAUAAAUAGUGAUUGACUGCAAGAAACACAAUUCGAGCAGGUGUAUCUUAGAACAUCUAAAUCUAAGGAGCAGGUAGUAGCGAACGAGAUUCUUGUAAUCUAACCCAGACCCGAAGAAGGAAUCUCAUCAACGGAACAAAGGUACGCUGGGGAUAACAGGCUUAUACGGGUAAAGAGUUCAUAUCGACAUCCGUGUUUGGCACCUCGAUGUUGGAUCAUCGCGUCCAUUAGCUGAAGAAGGUUAAAAUGGUUAGGUUGUUCACCUAUUAAAGCGGUACGUGAUCUGAGUUCAGAACGCCGUGAGGCAGUUCGGUUUCUAUCUACAAACUACUUAUUUUAAAAUCCCAAGAGAAGAUAGUACGAAAGGACGUUCUUCUCGAAACCCCUGGUUUAACUGUUGUAAAUUACAUUGCACGGCAGUAACGCUAAGUUUCUAUGAUUGUAAGGAUUAAAAAAUAAUGGAAAAAAAGUUAAACGUGUAAAAUUUCUCCAAAAAGUGAGGAAUCGCGAUUUAACAUUAGUCUCUUUCCAAAAAAUCUUCGAUUUUUUGGAA